rnacentral:rRNA from 1 species
GACAGAGGGUGCAAACGUUGUUCGGAAUUACUGGGCGUAAAGCGCGUGUAGGCGGCUCGGCAAGUCGGGUGUGAAAGCCCUCGGCUUAACCGAGGAACUGCGUCUGAUACUGGAUGGCUUGAGUUUGGGAGAGGGAUGCGGAAUUCCAGGUGUAGCGGUGAAAUGCGUAGAGAUCAGGAGGAACACCCGUGGCGAAGGCGGCCCUCUGGCUCGACCCUGAUGCUGAGGCGCGAAAGCGUGGGGAGCGAACGGG